UUGGAGGGCAAGUCUGGUGCCAGCAGCCGCGGUAAUUCCAGCUCCAAUAGCGUAUAUUAAAGUUGUUGCAGUUAAAAAGCUCGUAGUUGAAUUUCGGGAUCAAUGUUUCGGUCAUGCCGUUGGUAUGUACUGAUAUUAUUGAUUUCUCACCUUCUAAAGAACCGUAAUGCCAUUAAUUUGGUGUCACGGGGAAUUAGGACUGUUACCUUGAAAAAAUUAGAGUGUUUAAAGCAGGCUAACGCUUGAAUACAUUAGCAUGGAAUAAUGAAAUAGGACAUCCGAUUCUAUUUUGUUGGUUUCUAGGAUCGAUGUAAUGAUUAAUAGGGAUAGUUGGGGGCAUUAGUAUUCAAUUGUCAGAGGUGAAAUUCUUGGAUUUAUUGAAGACUAACUACUGCGAAAGCAUUUGCCAAGGAUGUUUUCAUUAACCAAGAACGAAAGUUAGGGGAUCGAAGACGAUCAGAUACCGUCGUAGUCUUAACCAUAAACUAUGCCGACUAGGGAUCGGAUGAUGUUAAUUUUUUAAUGACCCAUUCGGCGCCUUACGGGAAACCAAAGUGUUUGGGUUC
rnacentral:rRNA from 1 species